ensembl:lncRNA
AUCUUUAUUCAUCAGUACUUGCCAUUAUAAUGAGGGUCCAAACAGCUGAUUAAAAGAUCACAAUAUUUUGAAAUUUGAAGUUAAAACAUCUUAAUGCUGGAUGUGUUUCAUCUUUUGUCUUCUCCAGAUGAAAGUGAAAGUGAAAGUGAAAGUGACGUGACAUUCAGCCAAGUAUGGUGACCCAUACUCAGAAUUCGUGCUCUGCAUUUAACCCAUCCGAAGUGCACACACACAGAGCAGUGAACACACACACACACUGUGAACACACACCCGGAGCAGUGGGCAGCCAUUUUAUGCUGCGGCGCCCGGGGAGCAGUUGGGGGUUCGAUGCCUUGCUCAAGGGCACCUAAGUCAUGGUAUUGAAGGUGGAGAGAGAACUGUACAUGCACUCCCCCCACCCACAAUUCCUGCCGGCCCGAGACUCGAACUCACAACCCUUCGAUUGGGAGUCCGACUCUCUAACCAUUAGGCCACGACUUCCCACAAAACAGUCCAAACAGGAUUGUUUGGACAGAUGUUCACUGAUGGACUGGAGUGGUGUGGAUUACUUGUGGAUUAUUGUGAUGUUUUUAUCAGCUGUUUGGACUCUCAUUCUGACGGCACCCAUUCACUGCAGAGCAUCCAUUGGAUCCUGUUUGGACUGUUUUAAGUUGCAGUGUCGGAGGCGUCCAGAUCCCAAAGUGGCCGUGUGAUUGGUCAGGCUUGUGCCAGCUGUGCACGGAUGGAUAGUUGUGCUGGAAAUGGUGCCAGCGUUUGGCUGCCAGAGCUGAUGAUGGACAUGGAGUAGCAGCUGCCCGACUGCCCCUCCGAGCAGAACCACAGUCAUUUUUUACAGAGACCUGUCUCUCUGUCUGUCUUUCUGUCUGUCUGUCUGUCUGUCUGUCUGUCUUUCUGUCUGUCUGUCUGUCUGUCUGUCUGUCUGUCUGUCUGUCUGUCUGUCUGUCUCUCUCUCUGUCUGUCUGUCUCUCUCUCUGUCUGUCUCUCUGUCUGUCUGUUUCUAUGUCUGUCUCUCUCUCUCUGUCUCUCUCUCUCUCUCGUCUGUCUGUCUGUCUGUCUGUUUCUAUGUCUGUCUCUCUCUCUCUCUGUCUGUCUGUGUGUGUGUGUGUGUGUGUGUGUGUGUGUGUGUGUGUGUGUGUGUGUGUGUGUGUGUGUGUGUGUGUGUGUGUGUGUGUGUGUGUCUGUCUGUCUGUCUGUCUUUCAGCAGGCUGAUGUGAAAACGCCUAAUAAACCAGUAACCUCAAUCAACAGCUCUAUUUCUAGAGAUACAUUCUUGUUUCAUGUUGUGAUAGAAAACAGACAAGGCUUUUCUUCGAUGGAAAAAAAAAUAAAUGAUGAAGAAAUGGACAGCCAUUAGGAUUGCUUUUUAUCAGCAGUUUUUUACAUUACACUCAAUGUUGGUUUUUAUAUGUGUACUAAUACUGUACUAAUGUCAUUGCUGCCACUCAAACUUUGUCAGUUGUCAAUGUGUGCAGUGCAAUUUUAAUAUUUUGAUGAAAAUAUCCUUUGAAUUUAGUCAAUACUUUCAACACUGAUAAUAAUAAUAAUAAUAAUAAUAAUAAUAAUAAUAAUAAUAGAAGCAUAGUAGAAUGAUUUCUGAAGGAUCAUGUGAUACUGAAGAAAAUUCAGCUUUGAUCACAGAAAUAAAUUACAGUUUAACAGAUAUUCACAUAGAAAAGUGCUGUGUUAAAAUAUGAAAAUAUCUCACUUUCAAAUUAUAUAAAAAAAAAAAAAUAAAAUAAAAUAAAAAAAAAUCUCACCAACUUUCAACUCAUGUCAGAAAGAUUGUAUUUAUGAGUUGAAUGCACAUGAACGUCACCACAAAGUUGUCACUAGGAGUAGGAAACUCUGUUUCUGGCAGUGUGUCAGUGAGAAAACAUGUCAGUGUCAUAGUCAUCUACUGGAGUCCCCUAAGAGUCAUCAGAGGGCAAUAUUUUGGACGUUGUGUUUUGUUUUAACUGGACUUAAUUUCCCAUGGUUCCCCUCACUCUGCUCCCAUCAUCCCCUGCAUCCUCAUUGUUUAACUGGUUUCAGCUGUGUCUUGUUAGUUUGAAUAUCCUGCUGGUGUAUGUUGGAUGAGACCCGGAAGAGAAGACAAUCCUGAAUAAAGUCAUAAUUUUUGUUAUUUUUGGACCAAAAUGUAUUUUUGAUGCUUCAACAAAUUCUAACGGACCCUCUGAUGUCACAUGGACUACUUUGAUGAUGUUUUUAUUACCUUUCUGGACGUGGACAGUAUACCGUACAUACAUUCUCAAUGGAGGGACAGAAAGCUCUCGGACUAAAUCUAAAAUAUCUUAAACUGUGUUCUGAAGAUGAACGGAGGUCUCACGGGUUUGGAACGACAUGAGGGUGAGUCAUUAAUGACAUCAUUUUAAUAUUUGGGUGAACUAACCCUUUAAUGCACCACUGCAUUUAAUACCAAAAGCUAUUGAUAAAUGUAAGUCCAAUUUAAAAUAGUCUGUUUUGCCCCGUAUUAGUGUCUGAUUUGUAUUUGUAUGUUUACACUAUUGCAUUUUUUACAAGUGAGGAGUGAUAUUUCAAUGGUGCACAGGAUUGCUGACUGUGUAGUAGCUCGCUUGGUUUGCUUCACAGGUUCACCACGUCCUCCAUAAAUGCACACUGACAUAAACUCAUCUCAGUCACUAAUGGUUUAAGCGCUCUGGUUGCUGAGAGACAGGCGUGUCAUUCACAUGUUUACCUCUGAGACCAAACAGACGUGGGAAUUAUGCAAAUGAGGAUGAGCCAAUCAGAUCCCGGCCUGGCGGCCUCGCUCUCGCUCCAGAUAAACUUCUGACUUACUGCCGUCGUCACACCGCAGAGCCUCUGUGCUCAAGCACCUGCAGGAUUUCACCAGACAGAUGUCAGAAUGAUAAAACACACUGAAAACAUGACGGGCCAGUGUUUUCACUGCAAACAAUCUGUUGUAUUUGUUUUUCUGUGAUUUGCAACAAAGUUUGUUUAGGAUGUUAGUACAAUGCUCACUUGCUGCUUUAAACUUUUCUCUUCUGCUGCAAAAAAAAAAAACAACAAUGAUAUCAGUGCUGUUUAUUCCACAGACAGAAAAACAAAUAGCUGAUUCACUUAUUUUCUUCAUAAACAUAUACUGUCUUCCCUUUCCGUACAAUAAAUAAUCCUUCAAAUUCACUUCCUGUUUAAGUCCUAAAAAUCACCAGAGCUACUCAAACUGGUACAAAACAGCAACUAACCACUGGUAUACUCUUAUUUAGUGUGGAAAAUCACACUAUUUGCGUAAAUUUGUUGAAAUCUAGCUAAGCUGCAUUUACUAAAGGCAAUAGCACUGUACAAUUACAAAUGAAAAUAUAAUGAUUUAAUUUACAGCAC